rnacentral:lncRNA from 1 species
GAGUUAGUCGGACAACGCUACAACAUACGUCCACAAGGGGUGAGUUAGUCAGACAACGAACGUCCACAAGGGGUGAGUUAGUCGGACAACGCUACAACAUACGUCCACAAGGGGUGAGUUAGUCGGACAGCACACGUCCACAAGGGGUGAGUUAGUCAGACAACGCUACAACAUACGUCCACAAGGGGUGAGUUAGUCUGACAACGCUACAACAUAUAUCCACAAGGGGUGAGUUAGUCGGACAACGCACGUCCACAAGGGGCGAGUUCGUCGGACAACGCACGUCCACAAGGGACGAGUUAUUCGGACAACGCUACAACGCACGUCCACAAGGGGCCAGUUAGUCGGACAACGCUACAACAUACGUCCACAAGGGGUGAGUUAGUCUGACAACGCUACAACAUACGUCCACAAGGGGUGAGUUAGUCGGACAACGCUACAACACACGUCCACAAGGGGUGAGUUAGUCGGACAACGCACGUCCACAAGGGGUGAGUUAGUCGGACAACGCUACAACAUACGUCCACAAGAGGUGAGUUAGUCGGACAACACACGUCCACAAGGGGUGAGUUAGUCAGACAACGCUACAACAUACGUCCACAAGGGGUGAGUUAGUCGGACAACGCUACAACAUACGUCCACAAGGGGUGAGUUAGUCGGACAGCGCUACAAUAUACGUCCACAAGGGGUGAGUUAGUCGGACAACGCACGUCCACAAGGGGUGAGUUAGUCGGACAACGCUACAACAUACGUGCACAAGGGGUGAGUUAGUCGGACAACGCACGUCCACAAGGGGUGAGUUAGUCGGACAACGCACGUCCACAAGGGGUGAGUUAGUCGGACAAUGCUACAACAUACGUCCACAAGGGGUGAGUUAGUCGGACAACGCUACAACAUACGCCCACAAGGGGUGAGUUAGUCGGACAACACACCUCCACAAGGGGUGAGUUAGUCGGACAACGCUACAACAUACGUCCACAAGGGGUGAGUUAGUCGGACAACGCACGUCCACAAGGGGUGAGUUAGUCGGACAAUGCUACAACACACGUCCACAAGGGGUGAGUUAGUCUGACAACGCUACAACACACGUCCACAAGGGGUGAGUUAGUCUGACAACGCUACAACACACGUCCACAAGGGGUGAGUUAGUCGGACAAUGCUACAACACACGUCCACAAAGGGUGAGUUAGUCAGACAACGCACGUCCACAAGGGGUGAGUUAGUCGGACAACGCUACAACAUACGUCCACAAGGGGUGAGUUAGUCAGACAACGCACGUCCACAAGGGGUGAGUUAGUCAGACAACACACGUCCACAAGGGGUGAGUUACUCUGACAACGCUAAAACAUACGUCCACAAGGGGUGAGUUAGUCGGACAACAUACGUCCACAAGGGGUGAGUUAGUCGGACAACGCUACAACAUACGUCCACAAGGGGUGAGUUAGUCGGACAACGCUACAACAUACGUCCACAGGGGGUGAGUUAGUCGGACAACGCACGUCCACAAGGGGUGAGUUAGUCGGACAACGCUACAACACACGUCCACAAGGGGUGAGUUAGUCUGACAAUGCUACAACAUACGUCCACAAGGGGUGACUUAGUCUGACAACGCUACAACACACGUCCACAAGGGGUGAGUUAGUCGGACAACGCACGUCCACAAGGGGUGAGUUAGUCGGACAACGCUACAACAUACGUCCACAAGAGGUGAGUUAGUCGGACAACACACGUCCACAAGGGGUGAGUUAGUCAGACAACGCUACAACAUACGUCCACAAGGGGUGAGUUAGUCUGACAAUGCUACAACACACGUCCACAAGGGGUGAGUUAGUCGGACAACGCAUGUCCACAAGGGGUGAGUUAGUCGGACAACGCUACAACAUACGUCCACAAGAGGUGAGUUAGUCGGACAACACACGUCCACAAGGGGUGAGUUAGUCAGACAACGCUACAACAUACGUCCACAAGGGGUGAGUUAGUCGGACAACGCUACAACAUACGUCCACAAGGGGUGAGUUAGUCGGACAACGCUACAAUAUACGUCCACAAGGGGUGAGUUAGUCGGACAACGCACGUCCACAAGGGGUGAGUUAGUCGGACAAUGCUACAACAUACGUCCACAAGGGGUGAGUUAGUCGGACAACGCACGUCCACAAGGGGUGAGUUAGUCGGACAACGCACGUCCACAAGGGGUGAGUUAGUCGGACAACGCACGUCCACAAGGGGUGAGUUAGUCUGACAACGCUACAACAUACGUCCACAAGGGGUGAGUUAGUCGGACAACGCUACAAAAUACGUCCACAAGGGGUGAGUUAGUCGGACAACGCACGUCCACAAGGGGUGAGUUAGUCGGACAAUGCUACAACAUACGUCCACAAGGGUUGAGUUAGUCGGACAAUGCUACAACAUACGUCCACAAGGGGUGAGUUAGUCGGACAACGCUACAACAUACGUCCACAAGGGGGUGAGUUAGUCACACAACGCUACAACAUACGUCCACAAGGGGUGAGUUAGUCAGACAACGCUACAACAUACGUCCACAAGGGGUGAGUUAGUCGGACAAUGCUACAACAUACGUCCACAAGGGGUGAGUUAGACGGACAACGCUACAACAUACGCCCACAAGGGGUGAGUUAGUCGGACAACACACCUCCACAAGGGGUGAGUUAGUCGGACAACGCUACAACAUAAGUCCACAAGGGGUGAGUUAGUCGGACAACGCUACAAUAUACGUCCAGAAGGGGUGAGUUAGUCGGACAACGCUACAACAUACGUCCACAAGGGUUGAGUUUGUCGGACAACAUACGUCCACAAGGGGUGAGUUAGUCGGACAACGCUACAACAUACGUCCACAAGGGGUGAGUUAGUCAGACAAAGCACGUCCACAAGGGGUGAGUUAGUCUGACAACGCUACAACACACGUCCACAAGGGGUGAGUUAGUCUGACAACGCUAAAACAUACGUCCACAAGGGGUGAGUUAGUCGGACAACAUACGUCCACAAGGGGUGAGUUAGUCGGACAACGCUACAACAUACGUCCACAAGGGGUGAGUUAGUCGGACAACGCUACAACAUACGUCCACAAGGGGUGAGUUAGUCGGACAACACACGUCCACAAGGGGUGAGUUAGUCGGACAACGCUACAACAUACGUCCACAGGGGGUGAGUUAGUCGGACAACGCACGUCCACAAGGGGUGAGUUAGUCGGACAACGCUACAACACACGUCCACAAGGGGUGAGUUAGUCUGACAACGCUACAACAUACGUCCACAGGGGGUGAGUUAGUCGGACAACGCUACAACACACGUCCACAUGGGGUGAGUUAGUCUGACAACGCUACAACAUACGUCCACAAGGGGUGAGUUAGUCUGACAACGCUACAACACACGUCCACAAGGGGUGAGUUAGUCGGACAACGCUACAACAUACGUCCACAAGAGGUGAGUUAGUCGGACAACACACGUUCACAAGGGGUGAGUUAGUCAGACAACGCUACAACAUACGUCCACAAGGGGUGAGUUAGUCUGACAACGCUACAACGUACGUCCACAAGGGGUGAGUUAGUCGGACAACGCACGUCCACAAGUGGUGAGUUAGUCGGACAACGCUACAACAUACGUCCACAAGAGGUGAGUUAGUCGGACAACACACGUCCACAAGGGGUGAGUUAGUCGGACAACGCUACAACAUACGUCCACAAGGGGUGAGUUAGUCGGACAAUGCACGUCCACAAGGGGUGAGUUAGUCGGACAACGCACGUCCACAAGGGGUGAGUUAGUCGGACAACGCACGUCCACAAGGGGUGAGUUAGUCGGACAACG